rnacentral:rRNA from 1 species
AUUGAACGCUGGCGGUAUGCUUAAGACAUGCAAGUCGAACGGAAUCUUCGGAUUCAGUGGCGGACGGGUGAGUAGCACGUGGGAAUCUACUGAGUAGUGGGGGACAGCCCGGCGAAAAGCCGGAUUAAUACCGCAUACGCCCUACGGGGAAAGGCGCAAGCCGCUAUUUAAUGAGCCCGCGUAAGAUUAGCUAGUUGGUAAGGUAAAGGCUUACCAAGGCGACGAUCUUUAGCUGGUCUGAGAGGAUGGCCAGCCACAUCGGGACUGAGACACGGCCCGGACUCCUACGGGAGGCAGCAGUCGGGAAUAUUGGACAAUGGGCGCAAGCCUGAUCCAGCAAUACCGCGUGUGUGAAGAAGGCCUGCGGGUUGUAAAGCACUUUCAGUUGAGAAGAUAAUGACGUUACCAACAGAAGAAGCACCGGCUAACUCCGUGCCAGCAGCCGCGGUAAU